AGAGGAGAAAAAAAAAAAAAAGAAAGAAAAAAAAAAAAAAAAGAGGGGGGAAAAGCGCUCAACUCUCCCCCAAGCCGCGGCGCGCACCCGUCGGCGCCGAGCGCGCAGCCUGCUCCGCCGCCGCCUCCCGGCCCCGCCGCCACCACCGCCGCCGCCGCCGCCGCCGCCGCCGGGCAGGAUCUACAGACACAGAUGAAGAGACAUAUAGAUAGAAUCACAUUUACGUCAUACCAUUGGACGGAGCAUCCCUGAUUUGAAGACCUGGGCUCCUGCGCACUGAUCGAUGGCUCCAAGGUGGCAAAGGUGUGUUUAAAGCCAAGGAUGUGGGAUUUGUAAUAGGCCUGGCUUAGAGCUCAGUGGUUUAUUCUGGAUCUUUGGGCUUCAAGAAGUUGGAAGAAGUGGGGGAACUGAAAAACAUCUUUUUCAUCUCAAUGUUGGGACUUGAAAAUUCAAAAAGGGAGUCUAAAAAAAAUAACACUAACUUAAUCUGUCCCCGCAUAAAGCAACUGCUUGUUCUAAUUGAAAGCGCUGUUGUAUUCAUUUUUAGAAUAGGAGAAAGAACUGGCUGAGGCAAUGGAGCGGCAUUGAAUGUCCUUGUGCAUUUGGGGAUACAUUUGAAUUAUUUUUCUUUCAUGGCUGGGCCUUUUCUGGGGAACAGGAAUGGCAGAAAGUCUCCUUCUGCAAGGUCCUUUCACUGCUGGGUCAAAAGUCUCCUGAGCUGCCUGUAAUUCUUCCCUAUUUGCAGUGGAGUUGGCUUUUACCGUUUGAGUUUCAAGGCAACGUGCAGUUCUCCACCGUCUUCUUGACGGAGAUCGCCCUUUCAGUGUGGGCCCUUUCAGUGCGGCAGCUCUCUAUGAAGCAUAACUUCAGGAGGUAGUCUCCUUUACAGGCCGUGUAAAAUUUCCUUUCUACAGUAUUUUCUAAAAUAUGUUGAGAAUGUGAGGUUCUGGCAGGCUACAGACUCUACAAAUCAGAUUAAAUAAUCCCCCUGGCCAAGUGAUCAGACAGGAAAAGAAUUGUACAGAAAGGAAAACUCCCAACCACGCUGGCCACUGCCUUUGUUGGCUGCCUUCUGAGGGGUCCAGUUCCAAUGGGCGUAAGUGCUAGUUCGUGGUUAUGUGGGGGAAUGUUGGCCUCCUGCUCCAGGCCGAGAAAGAUCACAGCAAGGCAACUUCAGCAAGUAAGUUCGCCCUUAUAUUUGGUCUAUGGGCACCGAAUCAAAGUAGGUCUAAGGUUUCAUUUAUCUGGAUAAUUAAAUAAGCCUAGAAGAAUAUAUUCAGGAAAAUUUCUCCCCCUCCCCCCCCCUCUUUUUCAGAUGACACUCUUUGGUUUGCUCUCCUUACCUUGAAACUACCCCAAUGAAAGCAACAGUUUCUGCCAAGGGAGGAGAAAAAAAACGCUUCUCUACUCUUGGCUAGUGUGUGCUUUCUGGUGGGGGAGACCACAGUGGGGGGAUGUAGAACGCUUGUUCUGGGACCCAUCAUCCUGGGUCUACAUACAUGUUCUGCUAUCUGCCAGGCUUUGGGGAGUAGAUCCUAUCUUUUGAUGCUCGGUUUCCCCAUCUAUACAACAAGGAUCCUAAUAAGAAUACAAUAUAUCCUUUCUGGUGGGGGGAUUCACAAAGACUGUAAAAUAGUAAUUCUGAUGUGCCUUGGGUCCUUAAGAGUCGGCACUGGCUUCAACUCCUCGUAUGUAUUAUCCCACUUAAUUUCUUACCUCAUGAGGUAGGCCCUAUUAUCAGUCCCAAUCAUCAGAGAAGAACUUGGGGCACAGAGAGGGAAAGUCACCAAGUAGGGAAGUCCCCGAGUAGGAAAGUGCUAGCCAGGAUGCCCGCUCAGGCAGGGGGCCUCUGCACACGGACCCUCCCUCCGUGCAACACUACGCAGAGCUGCUUUUUCUUGGGCGUGGCCCACCCGACUCCUGGGGCCUUCAGAGCACACGGGCCCGUGGGCACUUAAGACCCUGAGUGCUCCUAGCUGUGCCGCAAGGUCCAGGGAGCCCUUCAGAAUUGGUGAGGACCCACACUUCAUCACCUGCCCCUGCAGGUCUGCGUUGGGGCAUUUGAGAGGAGGUGGAACCCAGAGGCCAGAGGCCGGCCCCUGCCACGUUGCUGAGUUUACUCUGCUCUGAGCUUUUCACAGGAGCCUAAAGGGGAGAUCGAGUCACUUUCCCUCUUUUUCUUGCCUACUAUUUCCACAUCUCACCCCCACCAGGCUACUCUUAAACAUCAUCAGCCAAACAAAGGAGUACCCUUGCGGCUGCUAUUUCAGACUCUGUGGGCAGGAGGCUUUAAUAAACAUGUCUCGUGUACUACUUAGACAUGUUUUUUGGCUCACAUCGUGUUUCAAGAUGUUUCAUGAAUGCUCUCUUUGUAAAGCCUUUCUUCACCUUCUUGCCCCAGCUUGAGUAUUUGUUUUCUCAUGAUGUCUUCCAUAUGGUGCUAGGGAUUCCGCAUAAUUAUGUACCUGUCUCAGCCAACCCGGAGACUAUAAGCUUCCUGAGGACAGAAAUUCGGACUUGCUUAUGCUAUAUCCUGCAACAACCAGCAUAGUGUCUAACAAAUGGAAACUCAUGAGGAAACAGGAAAAUGUAAAGCAUCUAUAAAUCAAACUAUUCUCACAAACCAAGUCAAAAUAUAAACGGCAGAUCGGGAGAAAUAUCUUUGCAACAUAUAGGACAAAGCGUUGUUAUAAAUAACAUACAGAGUUCUUUGCGUUAAAAAUAAAGGGAACAAAAUGAUUUUAAAAAUAGAUAAGUGGCACAAAUCGUAAAUUUACAGAAGGAAAAAUGCAAAUAAGUAAAUAGUAACAUGUGAUAAAAAUUCUAAUUCUCACUAGAAACAGAAAAUGUAAAUGAAAGUCACUGCUUUUUAAAAAAUGUAUACAGGCAAAUACUUAAGAUGAUUUAUUUGCAAGCAAAAAAAAAGUGGGGUGGGGGGAGGUUUAUGUACAAUGGGGAAUGUGAAGGAGUUUGAAAGCCUAUAAUUAAUGUGUAAUUAUGUAGAGUGUAUUUGUCUCCUAGGACUGCCAUAACAAAGUACUACAGAUGGGGGGAGGGGGGCUUCAACAGCAGAAGUUUGUUUUCUCACAAUUCUGGGGACUAAGAACCUGAAAUCAAGGUGGUAGCAGGAUUGGCUUCUUCUGAGUCUUCUCUCCUUAGCUCAUAAAUGCCUCCUCGUCCCUAUGUCCUCACGUGGCCUUCCCUCUGUGCAUAUCUUCAUCCUAAUUUCCCCUUCUUACAAGGGCACCAGUCAUAUUCGCAUUAAGGCCCACCCUAAUGACCUCAUUUUACUUUAAUUACCCCUUUAAGGACUCUAUCUCCAAAAACAGUUGCGUUUUGAGACUGCUUCAGAUUUCAAAAUACAACUUUUGGGGGACACAAUUUAGCCCCUAACAUGUACAUAUGUAACAGAUAUAGAUAGAUAAGCAGAUAGAUACUUGGUUAGAUAGAAACAUGUUUCAGAAACAAACUAGGACAAACUCUAAAUUGUUAACAGUGUUUACCUGUAGGGUUGGGACGGGAUGGAUAAGGAGUAUUUGCUAUUUUUCCAAUUUUAAAAGGUCUGGCAUUAGGCAAGAUUUGUUCCUUUUUGAGCAUUUCAGGAUUUUCAAAUAAUAACAAUAAAAUAAUAGAAGUAUCACAUACAGAAAAUGUAUCAUCAGAGACACCAGCUGAGCAGAUGUUCAUCAGUAGUGUUCCUAGUCCUGAGCACAUAAGAAAACUACAUUUCCCAGCUUCCCUUGUACUUAGAUUGAAGCUAUGUGACUGAGUUUUGGCAAAAGGAAUAUCAGCAGAAGAGAAAUAUGAUGCUCCAAGCCUUGGUCUUAAAAUGUCUCCCACUAUCUCCUUAUUCUAACUCUCUUUCUUCUUGGAGUCUUGUUGAAUGCACAGGAACUAGUAAAGCAAUUCUGAGGCCACUCUUUAAGGUGGCGGAGACACAUGGUGAAGGGAGGUGAGGUUCCUUAGUAACCAUGUAGAGAGCUAUUCAAGAUGGCUGCCUGACCCAUAUCUACUUUUCUUUGUGUUAAGUGACUGUGUUUCGGGUUAUCUGUUCCAAUAAUUGGCAUUAAUUACUUUGACAAAUAUAUUACCCAAAUUAGCCUUUUCUUCAAAGUAAAUUUACUGUAAUAAAGUGAAAAAUAUAUAUACCCUUUAAACUAGAAAUCACCCUUCUAGGAAACAAACUUUUAUAACUGAAAGCACAAGAAUACAAAAAUAUGCUUGUAAGAUAUGUUUGCAAUGGGAAAAAAUGUCAAGUAUAUUUUCAUCUAUUGGGAAAUGCUUAAAUAAUGAUACGUGGAUUUAUUAAACCUUAUGUAUGUAGACAUUAAAGGAAUGAUUUAGCUAUAUAUACUGACCUGGAAAGAUGCCUAUCAAUAAAGUUAUUCACAUAACA